GACGAACGCUGGCGGCGUGCUUAACACAUGCAAGUCGAACGAAGAGCGAUGGAAGCUUUCUUCUAUCAAUCUUAGUGGCGCACGGGUGAGUAACGCGUAAUCAACCUGCCCUUCAGAGGGGGACAACAGUUGGAAACGACUGCUAAUACCGCAUACGAUCCAAUCUCGGCAUCGAGGAUGGAUUAAAGGUGGCCUCUAUUUAUAAGCCAUCACUGAAGGAGGGGAUUGCGUCUGAUUAGCUAGUUGGAGGGUGAACAGCCCACCAAGGCGAUGAUCAGUAGCCGGUCUGAGAGGAGGAACGGCCACAUUGGGACUGAGACACGGCCCAGACUCCUACGGGAGGCAGCAGUGGGGAAUCUUCCGCAAUGGACGAAAGUCUGAAGGAGCAACGCCGCGUGAGUGAUGACGGCCUUCGGGUUGUAAAGCUCUGUUAAUCGGGACGAAAGGUCCUCUUGCGAAUAGUUAGAGGAAUUGACGGUACCGGAAUAGAAAGCAACGGCUAACUACGUG
rnacentral:rRNA from 1 species